UACGAAGGGGGCUAGCGUUGUUCGGAUUUACUGGGCGUAAAGCGCACGUAGGCGGAUCGUUAAGUCGGGGGUGAAAUCCUGGAGCUCAACUCUGGAACUGCCUUUGAUACUGGGUGUCUUGAGUAUGGAAGAGGUGAGUGGAAUUCCGAGUGUAGAGGUGAAAUUCGUAGAUAUUCGGAGGAACACCAGUGGCGAAGGCGGCUCACUGGUCCAUUACUGACGCUGAGGUGCGAAAGCGUGGGAGCAACAGG
rnacentral:rRNA from 1 species